UGAGACAUCAGGCCUGAUUAUUUUGUUAGUUUUUGGCUUGUUUGCUUUGUCUGAUAUUGGUUUUUGAUUUGGAUUAGAUUCCUCUGGACAAAAGGCCUGCCAGAAUAUGAUGAUGAUACCUCCAACUGCAGUAAUUUAGAAGAAUGCUAAUGUCACAAAUGCUGUGCCCUGUUAGGCCUCUGGUCUUUUCAACUCAAACACCAAAAAUCCAUUUAAACUUUACAACAAAAAGGCCUUACUGCUUUCACCUUUUUUGGAUGGAACCACAUUGUCCUACAAACUUUAUACUGGAUCUGUGGCCUGAAGCCUCCUUGUUUUUUAACUUUGAAAAGCUCAAAUGUGCAUUUUGCGCUGGUAAGCCUUUUUCCUUCAGGAGCGAAUGUCUGACUGAUUAA